rnacentral:rRNA from 1 species
GNGUUUGAUCAUGGCUCAGGACUGAACGCUGGCGUGCCGAUGCCUAAUACAUGCAAGUCGAGCGAACAGAGAAGGAGCUUGCUCCUUUGACGUUAGCGGCGGACGGGUGAGUAACACGUGGGCAACCUACCUUAUAGUUUGGGAUAACUCCGGGAAACCGGGGCUAAUACCGAAUAAUCUAUUUUACUUCAUGGUGAAAUACUGAAAGACGGUUUCGGCUGUCGCUAUAAGAUGGGCCCGCGGCGCAUUAGCUAGUUGGUGAGGUAACGGCUCACCAAGGCGACGAUGCGUAGCCGACCUGAGAGGGUGAUCGGCCACACUGGGACUGAGACACGGCCAGACUCCUACGGGAAGGCAGCAGUAAGGGGAAUCUUCCACAAUGGGCGAAAGCCCUGANGGAGCACGCCGCGUNAAGUNAAGAAGGGUUUUCUCCGGGAUUCGGUAAAAAACUUCCUUGUGG